ensembl:lncRNA
CGGAAAGCCGAAACGGUGCAGCGUUCCCUCGGUGUAAAGGAUCCACCGCACCUCAGAGUUCGGAUGGCUGUGGCCAGCCAGCCAUUUUGUGGUGCUGAAGAUGCCUGGCAGCCAAAUUGCUUGGGAUUGGACUCUGCUAUGGGAGGACUGAUUCAGCUCAUAGGUGCUAAAGCCUCUAACGCCAAGAAAUAGUGGAAAUAGCUGAUGAACUGCUGCCCCUUAAUUGAUGUGGGGGAUUAUGUGGCUGAGGAAAAGGGACACGCAGCUACUGUAGAUCCGAAGAUUCACACACGGUUGUGCUUAAUUCGUGACAUAAGACGUGCAAUGGAUCUGCAAAGAACAGAAUGGUACAAACGAUGAAGUGAUAACAUCACGAUGAGUUCAGUGGUGUUUGCUCCUUGCUCCACUUGUCACUGGUUUGUGUGCACUCCUUGGAGGCUGAUGGAGAUCACAGAAUCAUAUCUUCCUGAUAUGAAAAAGCCCUCUGAGAUCCCUGAGACCCCCAACCCCCCCGUGCCCACUGCCCACCCCUCAGUGCCACAUCCCCGCAGCUCUGAACACCUCCAUGGAUGGGGAUUGCCCACCCCUGGGCAGCUGUGCCAGCGCCUGGCCGCUCUCUGGAGCAGACAUUGCUCCUAAUGCCCCAACUGUCCCAGCAGCACUGGAUCACUGUGGGACCCAAGUGCAUGUUAGGAGGCAGAUGAAU